GCCUGGGUGGCUCAGUCAGUUAAGCGUCUGACUCUGGCUCAGGUCAUGAUCUCACGGUUCAUGGGUUCGAGACCCACAUCAGGCU
rnacentral:tRNA from 1 species